rnacentral:rRNA from 1 species
UUCCGGUUGAUCCUGCCGGAGGCGACCGCUUUGGGAGUUCGAUUAAGCCAUGCGAGUCGUGAGUCUUAGGGACUCGGCAUACUGCUCAGUAACACGUGGAUAACCUGCCCUAUCGUCUGGAAUAACCUCGGGAAACUGAGAACAAGGCCGGAUAGUUCACAAUGCCUGGAACGGUUUGUGAAUCAAGGUAGGAUGGGUCUGCGGCGUAUCAGGUUGUAGGGGGUGUAAAGGACCCCCUAGCCUUCGACGCGUACGGGUGUUGGGAGACAUAGCCCGGAGAUGGAUUCUGAGACACGAAUCCAGACCCUACGGGGUGCAGCAGGCGCGAAAACUUCACACUGCAGGAAACUGUGAUGAGGGAACUCCUAGUGCAUGCACUAUGUGUAUGUAGAUCCUACUCUUAACAAGUAGAGGGAGAGGGCUGGGAAAGACCGGUGCCAGCCGCCGCGGUAAUACCGGCAGCUCAAGUGGUCGUCGCUUUUAUUGGGCCUAAAACGUCCGUAGCCUGUUUGGUAAAUCUGUGGGUAAAUCAAUCCGCUCAACGGAUUGAAUUCUGCAGAGACUGCCAGACUAGGGACCGGGAGAGGUGUGGGGUACUCGAGGGGUAGGGGUAAAAUCCUGUCAUCCUUCGAGGACCACCAGUUGCGAAGGCGCCACACUGGAACGGAUCCGACGGUCAGGGACGAAGCCUAGGGGCACGAACCGGAUUAGAUACCCGGGUAGUCCUAGGUGUAAACGCUGUGAACUUGGUGUCGGGGGUCCGCAAGGGGUCCCCGGUGCCGGAGUGAAGAUGUUAAGUUCACUGCCUGGGGAGUACGGUCGCAAGGCUGAAACUUAAAGGAAUUGGCGGGGGAGCACUGCAACGGGAGGAGCGUGCGGUUUAAUUGGAUCAACGCCGGA